CAAUAAAGGCCGACUUCAUUUGGGACUCGGGUGGGGUGGGCUUUGGGAAGGGCCGCUACCCACAGACGUCAGAGGAGCAGGGGUCACACACAUGUCUUGGGAGAAAGCCACUGGAAUCUUGCUUAAAGGGAUACAAUGCUUAUGAAGUCAGAGCCGGGGUUAAGGUUGAGACAGCCAUGUAGUUCUGGAUACGGUACAUUUCAGAGCUCCCAGUUUCUUUUCUGCAAAAUGAGAGUCUUGCACCCCCACCAUGCAUGGCUGGGGUGGCCCAGCUCACAAAGUGGAAAUGGCAAGCCCAAGGGGACAUGGGUUUGAUCUCUGGUCGGGGAACUGAGAUCCCACAUGCUGCAGGGCAACUAAAUCUGCGUGCUGCAACCAGAGAAGCCUAGGCACCGCAAUGAGGACCCAGCACAGCCAAAAAUACAAAAGCUGGUGCUCCAACAUCCUUGUGGGUCCUCUCGGCUCCCCCAACCCCUGCCUCCUCACCGACUGAGCCGCUGCUCCAGGAUACGGAUACGGAACAUGGCCUGAGAGCAGUAACUCAGGAAUCUCCACUUGGUUGGUGAAGGGGAUUUAGAAGCUGGCCUAAAAAAACCAAGCUGGGUCUUGGCAACCAGAGUGGGUAAUGUGAAGGCCCUGUGUGCAGGGGCCAGAGAACUCAAGCCCGUGACCAGGUCACAACCCCCAGGGAAGCCCCCAAGUGGACGUCUUGGCUUGGCCAUAGCUCCUGGAGGUGGUGUGGGGGGACCUGGCCUGUAUCCUGAGCACGUGUUGAAGAGUGAUCAGGGAAAUGGUCAGCUCACAGCAAAGAUGACCACUGUGGUGUCAAUAACUUCAUCGCCUCUAAAGGGCUUCCCCGCAGAAUCCCUAUCAACCUCAGCACCCUG